rnacentral:rRNA from 1 species
GACGAACGCUGGAGGCGUGCUUAACACAUGCAAGUCGAACGAUGAAAUGGAGCUUGCUCCAUGGAUUAGUGGCGAACGGGUGAGUAACACGUGAAUAACCUGCCCUUAAUUUUGGAAUAACCCAGGGAAACCUGGGCUAAUACCGGAUAAGUAAACCUGUGGCAUCACAUGGUUUUGGAAAGUUUUUCGAUUAUGGAUGGAUUCGCGGCCUAUCAGCUUGUUGGUGAGGUAAUGGCUCACCAAGGCGACGACGGGUAGCCGGCCGGAGAGGGUGAACGGCCACACUGGGACUGAGACACGGCCCAGACUCCUACGGGAGGCAGCAGUGGGGAAUAUUGCGCAAUGGACGAAAGUCUGACGCAGCGACGCCUCGUGAGGGACGAAGGUCUUCGGAUUGUAAACCUCUUUCAGCAGGGACGAAGCGAAAGUGACGGUACCUGCAGAAGAAGCACCGGCUAACUAUGUGCCAGCAGCCGCCGUAA